AAGUCGUAACAAGGUUUCCGUAGGUGAACCUGCGGAAGGAUCAUUCUUGUAUUGUUUGCUUUUAUAGCAAUCUACAAUCUACUAUGUGAACUGUUUAUGCGUGCUUGCGCAAGGACUAUUGAUCAGUGCUCUCAGGGGGUGCUGGAUGAUGGGAAUUGCGCGGCCGUAAUAAAACCAUAUAAUCAACUCAAUAUCUUAAAGUCUUGUAAAUAAAAAACAAAAACAUCUUUUAGCAACGGAUCUCUAGGCUCUC
rnacentral:misc_RNA from 1 species